CUUGACACUGAACAUUGAGCCUUGAUGUGUAGGAUAGGUGGGAGGCUUUGAAGCGUGGACGCCAGUCUGCGUGGAGCCAACCUUGAAAUACCACCCUUUAAUGUUUGAUGUUCUAACGUGGGCCCCUAAUCGGGGUUGCGGACAGUGUCUGGUGGGUAGUUUGACUGGGGCGGUCUCCUCCCAAAGCGUAACGGAGGAGCACGAAGGUUAGCUAAUCCUGGUCGGACAUCAGGAGGUUAGUGCAAUGGC
rnacentral:rRNA from 1 species